GGGAACUGAACGAAGAAUUCGGCCAAGAUUCUAUCCUAAAUAGUUUUCAUCUGCUGCACUCUUUGUUACUUUAUUUAUUUCCUUCCUGUUCUAUGCUAGAAGGGGGGAAAUAGAAAGAAAUCAUAGAUGGGAACCAGUAUAACUGCAGAUCACAUACAAUGUAAGUGGAGAGAACAAAUGGCAAACACAAUGUGGAGGGCGGAGCUCAAGGAGGAGCUGGCCACGUUGGCUGGUGGAGAUCUGAUGGUGGUGGUGCCGGAGGGCUUGGGUGAGCGGAGGGAAGGCGCUGGAGGGGAUGGAGCUCGGGUUCGGGCGGUUUGGGGUUGAAGGAGAUGGUUCUGGGGGUGCUUGGCGGCGUGUGGUCGGAGGUGGAGGUGGUGUUGGGGGUGUUUGGCGCGGUGAGGGAAGGUGAGCGGAGGAGGGUGUUGGCGCAACGACGGCCACAAUUUGAGCUGUUAUUUGAAUUGUUCCAAAAGGACCUAUUUAUCUUGUUGUGAUAAUUAUGAACAUGAAGGUUAAAACCAUUUAUCUUGUAUUGUUGUGAUAAUUUGAUGUUGAAACUAUGUACUUGUGAAUUUUCUUGUAUUUUAUGUGAUAAUUUGAUGUUGAAACUAUGUACUUGUGAUAAUUUGAUGUUGAA